UACAGAGGUCUCAAGCGUUGUUCGGAUUCAUUGGGCGUAAAGGGUGCGUAGGCGGCGCGGUAAGUCGGGUGUGAAAUCCCUCGGCUCAACCAAGGAAGUGCAUCCGAAACUGCUGAGCUUGAGUACUUAAGAGGAUCGCGGAAUUCCCGGUGUAGAGGUGAAAUUCGUAGAUAUCGGGAGGAACACCAGUGGCGAAGGCGGCGAUCUGGGAAGAUACUGACGCUGAGGUGCGAAAGCGUGGGGAGCAAACAGG
rnacentral:rRNA from 1 species